AUAAAACUUCAGGGCAGGGUGCAAUUCCCGACCGGCGGUAAACCCCGCGAGCCGUUUCUCGGUUGAACUGGUGGAAUUCCAGUGGCGACAGUAAAGUCUGGAUGAAAGAAUGUUUUU
rfam:Holdemania filiformis DSM 12042 genomic scaffold Scfld10, whole genome shotgun sequence.